AUUGAACGCUGGCGGCAUGCUUUACACAUGCAAGUCGAACGGUAACAGGGUGCUUGCACCGCUGACGAGUGGCGAACGGGUGAGUAAUGCGUCGGAACGUGCCGAGUAGUGGGGGAUAACGCAGCGAAAGUUGUGCUAAUACCGCAUACGUACUGAGGUAGAAAGUGGGGGACCUUCGGGCCUCACGCUAUUCGAGCGGCCGACGUCUGAUUAGCUAGUAGGUGAGGUAAAGGCUCACCUAGGCGACGAUCAGUAGCGGGUCUGAGAGGAUGAUCCGCCACACUGGGACUGAGACACGGGCCAGACUCCUACGGGGGGCAGCAGUGGGGAAUUUUGGACAAUGGGCGAAAGCCUGAUCCAGCCAUGCCGCGUGUCUGAAGAAGGCCUUCGGGUUGUAAAGGACUUUUGUCAGGGAGGAAAUCCCUAGUGCUAAUAACACUGGGGGAUGACAGUACCUGAAGAAUAAGCACCGGCUAACUACGUGCCAGCAGCCGCCGUAA
rnacentral:rRNA from 1 species